UAGUCAACGUUCAUCUCUGACUGCCAGUUGUGUUAUAAUUUCUGAUCUGUCUCCUGACCCUUUCCUCAACAGGAACUAACCCAACCCGGCCAGGAGCCUUUCCUGGUGCCAACAGCCCUGGCCCUGUAGCUGACCUUAAUGGAACUGCCAGUCAAGACUCUGGUGUGGGCAACUACAUCAGUGCCACCAACCCUCAACCAGGCUCUGGCUUCAGCCACAGCAUUGCUGGUCCAUUGGUUGCGACAGCUUUUACAAAUGGAUACCAUUGAAAGCUAGCAGGUGACUGGUUGCCAUCUCAUUUGAGGUGAUACCAUCCAGCACUAACCACUCAGUGAGCCAGAGAGGAGGUGGCACCAGAUGAAGAACAGUUCUGAAAAAAAGUAAAAAAUCAUCACAGAAAAAAGAUGACAGUCCAGUGGCAAUAAACCUGACCUGCUAUGGAGAUCCUUUUGACUGUAUCCGGUAUCCUUGUGUUAACAUUUGACUUUUUUUUUUUUUUUUUCUUGAUUUAAAUUGAUUUGUUCAAUUUUGAUUUUUUUUUUUUGUCUUAGACUUAAAAUCAAUAAUGAAAACUUAUUUUUAAGUAUUUAGUUCUAAUGAUUUUAUGUGUACGUUUGUUUCUUUUGAUCUGCACAUUAAAAAAAUACACUGUGGUUACUUAUUUUUUACUUUAAGUGAUUGAAAGAUUCUCAGUUUGCACAUACAAAGACAUCUGAUGUGAACCAUCUUGGCUCAGUGGAGACAGUAAUGGUUCACUUAUCAAAAAACAAGACAAACCAAUAACGCAGAGUAGCUUUGGCUCUAGCAAUGUGGUCACUUAACGUACCUAGUUUUGGAAAUAAGAGGACUACAACAUUUUCACAGUCCUGUUUUAUAAAUGUUUUGUUGUCUGGAGAAGAAAAAGAAAAAGUAAUAGAAAAAAGUUGUCCUUUUAAUUCUGUCAGAUUUAAAAACUAGUGUAUAACUGUAAUUGUGUUUCAGUGGUUAUAGUGGUUUAGAGAGGGACAUAUCUAUUUUUGUGAUGGUUGAUUAUGUGAAAAGGCCACAUCAUGCUGGAUGGGAGGACAUCAACUGUCUCUCCAGAGUCCCAACACCGCCGCACAACGGCGGAGGAAAAAAAAAGAACAUGGCAGAUUCUGCUAUGCUGGUUAUCUCCGUUCAUGCUCUUUGCUUUCCAACUGUGGCUAAUUUGAUACCAGCAUAUUUUGUCUACAUGAUGAGCUAUAGUGUGCACAAUUAGAAAAAGUCGACACAAGGUUGUUGUUGUUGUUGUUGUUGUUGUCGUCGUCGUCACACAAACAUCUGGAUCUGGAACUCUGGAGCUCUGGAGCUCUGGAGCAUGAAAAGAAAUCAAUCCAAAGCACACCUGAUAGUUUUGGGAAUACUAGGCGAAUCAGUUGUGUCCUCAUAUU